GAUGAAGAACGUAGCAAAAUGCGAUACUUGGUGUGAAUUGCAGAAUCCCGUGAACCAUCGAGUUUUUGAACGCAAGUUGCGCCCGAAGCCUUUUGGCCGAGGGCACGUCUGCCUGGGCGUCACGCAUCGCGUCGCACCCCACAAUUCUCCGUAAAGGGAACGUGUGUUUUGGGGGCGGAUAUUGGUCUCCCGUGCUCAUGGCGUGGUUGGCCGAAAUAGGAGUCCUUUCGAUGGACGCACGAACUAGUGGUGGUCGUAAAAACCCUCGUCUUUUGUUUCGUGCUGUUGCUCGCAAGGUAAACUCUUUAAAAACCCCAAUGUGUCGUCUCUUGACGACGCUUCGACCGCGACCCCAGGUCAGGCGGGACUACCCGCUGAGUUUAAGCAUAUCAAUAAGCGGAGGA
rnacentral:misc_RNA from 1 species